GACGAACGCUGGCGGCGUGCUUAACACAUGCAGGUCGAACGGAAAGGCCUGCUUUCCCUUGUGGAUUGCGGGUACUCGGGUGGCGAACGGGUGAGUAACACGUGAGUGAUCUGCCCCCAACUUGGGUAUAAGCCUGGGAAACUGGGUCUAAUUCCCGAUAGGACUGCAGGGUGGUGCCUGUGGUGGAAAACGAUUUUCUAGUGGUUGGGGAUGAGCUCGCGGCCUAUCAGCUUGUUGGUGGGGUAAUGGCCUACCAAGGCGGCGACGGGUAGCCGGCCUGAGAGGGUGGACGGCCACAUUGGGACUGAGAUACGGCCCAGACUCCUACGGGAGGCAGCAGUGGGGAAUAUUGCACAAUGGGCGGAAGCCUGAUGCAGCGACGCCGCGUGGGGGAUGACGGCCUUCGGGUUGUAAACUCCUUUCGACCGCGAGGAAGCCACCUGGUUGGAAGGGUGGUGACGGUAGUGGUAGAAGAAGCACCGGCUAACUACGUG
rnacentral:rRNA from 1 species